GAUGAACGCUGGCGGCGUGCUUAACACAUGCAAGUCGAACGGAAAGGCCCAAGCUUGCUUGGGUACUCGAGUGGCGAACGGGUGAGUAACACGUGGGUGAUCUGCCCUGCACUUCGGGAUAAGCCUGGGAAACUGGGUCUAAUACCGGAUAGGACCACAUUUUGGAUGGUGUGGUGGAAAGUUUUUCGGUGUGGGAUGAGCUCGCGGCCUAUCAGCUUGUUGGUGGGGUAAUGGCCUACCAAGGCGUCGACGGGUAGCCGGCCUGAGAGGGUGUACGGCCACAUUGGGACUGAGAGACGGCCCAGACUCCGACGGGAGGCAGCAGUGGGGAAUAUUGCACAAUGGGCGCAAGCCUGAUGCAGCGACGCCGCGGGGGGGAUGACGGCCUUCGGGUUGUAAACUCCUUUCGCUAGGGACGAAGCGUUAUGUGACGGUACCUGGAGAAGAAGCACCGGCUAACUACGUG
rnacentral:rRNA from 1 species